UUGGCCGGGCGACGGUUGUCCCGGUUUAAGCGUGUAGGCUGGUUUUCCAGGCAAAUCCGGAAAAUCAAGGCUGAGGCGUGAUGACGAGGCACUACGGUGCUGAAGCAACAAAUGCCCUGCUUCCAGGAAAAGCCUCUAAGCAUCAGGUAACAUCAAAUCGUACCCCAAACCGACACAGGUGGUCAGGUAGAGAAUACCAAGGCGCUUGAGAGAACUCGGGUGAAGGAACUAGGCAAAAUGGUGCCGUAACUUCGGGAGAAGGCACGCUGAUAUGUAGGUGAAGUCCCUCGCGGAUGGAGCUGAAAUCAGUCGAAGAUACCAGCUGGCUGCAACUGUUUAUUAAAAACACAGCACUGUGCAAACACGAAAGUGGACGUAUACGGUGUGACGCCUGCCCGGUGCCGGAAGGUUAAUUGAUGGGGUCAGCGCAAGCGAAGCUCUUGAUCGAAGCCCCGGUAAACGGCGGCCGUAACUAUAACGGUCCUAAGGUAGCGAAAUUCCUUGUCGGGUAAGUUCCGACCUGCACGAAUGGCGUAAUGAUGGCCAGGCUGUCUCCACCCGAGACUCAGUGAAAUUGAACUCGCUGUGAAGAUGCAGUGUACCCGCGGCAAGACGGAAAGACCCCGUGAACCUUUACUAUAGCUUGACACUGAACAUUGAGCCUUGAUGUGUAGGAUAGGUGGGAGGCUUUGAAGUGUGGACGCCAGUCUGCAUGGAGCCGACCUUGAAAUACCACCCUUUAAUGUUUGAUGUUCUAACGUGGACCCGUGAUCCGGGUUGCGGACAGUGUCUGGUGGGUAGUUUGACUGGGGCGGUCUCCUCCUAAAGAGUAACGGAGGAGCACGAAGGUUGGCUAAUCCUGGUCGGACAUCAGGAGGUUAGUGCAAUGGCAUAAGCCAGCUUGACUGCGAGCGUGACGGCGCGAGCAGGUGCGAAAGCAGGUCAUAGUGAUCCGGUGGUUCUGAAUGGAAGGGCCAUCGCUCAACGGAUAAAAGGUACUCCGGGGAUAACAGGCUGAUACCGCCCAAGAGUUCAUAUCGACGGCGGUGUUUGGCACCUCGAUGUCGGCUCAUCACAUCCUGGGGCUGAAGUAGGUCCCAAGGGUAUGGCUGUUCGCCAUUUAAAGUGGUACGCGAGCUGGGUUUAGAACGUCGUGAGACAGUUCGGUCCCUAUCUGCCGUGGGCGCUGGAGAACUGAGGGGGGCUGCUCCUAGUACGAGAGGACCGGAGUGGACGCAUCACUGGUGUUCGGGUUGUCAUGCCAAUGGCACUGCCCGGUAGCUAAAUGCGGAAGAGAUAAGUGCUGAAAGCAUCUAAGCACGAAACUUGCCCCGAGAUGAGUUCUCCCUGACCCUUUAAGGGUCCUGAAGGAACGUUGAAGACGACGACGUUGAUAGGCCGGGUGUGUAAGCGCAGCGAUGCGUUGAGCUAACCGGUACUAAUGAACCGUGAGGCUUAACCUUACAACGCCGAAGGUGUUU
rnacentral:rRNA from 1 species